rnacentral:misc_RNA from 1 species
CUUUCCAAUAUGAUGACAUUUUAUUGCCAAAAAUCACAUUACAAUGUGAACGGGGAAGCAUUUUCUCCAGCCCUAGAUGACUGCAGUUGAGAAGGAAAAAUAGAACCUCUUCUCAACUAAACUUACUCCCUGUAACAACUAGUUUUUAUAAUAUUUCAAUGGUCAGAAAGACACUCUGCAAUAAAUUUAUACAACAAGGAACCUAUACUCAAAGAAGUAAAUCUGUGCUCAUUGGAGAAAUGUGGCACCUUUGACAAUCAAUACAUGAAGUGAAUGCUCCCUUCAUCCUAGUUAGAUGCACCUAAAAGAGCAGGUCCUGAUCCAUUCCCCAUAUCAAGAAAGUUGCUAGACACUGGCUCCACAUAACUAGCCUUUGAAAGGAAAAAAGGCUCCUUUUCCUGAGUCCCACCAUUAUUUUCAACAAUUCUUUCCAAAUCCUUGCCAGUCAAAAUCUCAAAUUCAAGUAACUCUUCAACAAUCUUCUCAAGAACUUGACGAUUUUUCUGAAGCAAUUCCUUUGCUUUAAGAUAUGCUAAAUCGUACAUCUUUUCAACUUUAGCUGCCAUAUCAUACUCAUGAUUGUUCCCCAUGCUUAAAGAUGUAACCUAAACCAGCAGGCAAAGAUAUUCCACACAAAAAUAUUAACAUGCAAACUCAAAGCUUAUAAUGAAUCCUUGAAGAUGACAUUGAAUAUCACAUAAAGAAUUUUGGGACAGUGGUAAGUAUUGUAUAAAUGCAAAUGAAGUCAUGUGAGGGAAACAGACACACUGAUCCUUAUUUCUGCCUCCUAAGCAUGAGCAAAAUGUGCAAAAAUUGGUGUAACAAAUUACUAGAAGACAGGAAUUGUUGCAGGCACUAACAAUAAAACUAAAAUAUAAGAAUUGAAGAAGAACGUUUUUCUUCUUUAACCAAUAUAUUCUGCACUAGAAGGAAUUGGGAAUACCGCAUUGCUACUGUAGUAAAUUGCAGGACUGUCAUCAGGCCCCCACCCAUACUGAAUCACCAUACGUGUAGCUAUCUCCUGAGCUUGUCUUAAUUCUGAAGAAGAAAGAAAAUUUUCUUCACCAAAGGGAAGUAGUAGCUGGGAUGCAACAUAUGAACCAAAACAAAAGACAAGCUUUUUCUCAAGAUAAGAUCUUGAUUCCACAUUUCCAUUCAGGGAGCCUUCAUUUCUAGCCUUACUGAUCUUAGUACAUCCAAUUCCCUGCCAAGAACAGGGCUCCAGCCAUAGAUUAUCUACAACAUCAAAGUUAGGUAAAAGAAGUGCAAUAAGACCACGGCCAGCAGCCCAAACAGCAUGUGGGAACUUGGUCUCCCUGGUCCAAUCAAGUGGAGGAUUGAGUAGGUCUAUUCCAUUGCUUAUCUGACCAUACGGCUCCAUCAGGUCAACAACAUUCUGCAGAUCCUCUUUAGUCAAUUCUAGCCCCAGAUGAUUCACCAGCAUCCUGCUCAUCUUCUUCACAAUUUGGAUUUUCCGAACCCAUUUGGGGAAUAUAGCACUGAAAGUCGCAAACCAACUGCAGUAGCUCAUAAGUUCAUCUGCAUCCACAAAUUUGCUCCUAAAGGCACUACCUUCCAGGGCAACAGGAACAAGUUUCAAUUCUAUAGGGCGUAAAAGAGAUGUCUUCUCAGCAACCUUUUUCCAGUCUACAAAAUCAAUGAGGCCUUCAUCCAUGGUUUCUUUUGCAGAACUUAAUAAAAUCUUCUCCCUUUCUGCUUGAGUUGGCUGUUGAAGAUAAAAUACUCUAUCCAUCCGACCAGGUCGUUGCAAGGCCUCAUCAAUUUGCUUCAAAUUUCUUGUUGUCGCCAUCAAAACAACUCCAUCUUGUUUCUCAAACCCAUCAAGUUCCACUAGGAGUUGAUUAAUGAAAGCCUCAUGAUCCUGCUUCUUAGUGUGAAUAAAUUUGCCACGAACACCAGCAAAAAGAUCAAAAUCCUCCACGAAGAUAAUUACAGGUGCCUAGAUAUGACAUUAUAAAGUUAGAAAAAAUGAAUGAAUCAUGUUUAAUCAAAUUCCUUUGUUUCUUUUAAGGAUUAAAAACUGAAAUCAGUGGGACUCCUUAAACAGCAAUUCAGCAGCAUUGCUUUUAUGAAUGAAAACAUAAAAACUGUCACAUUCAUUGCCAGAAGUUUACUUAACCAUUUCCACAAAUAUUAAUCAAUAAAAAUUCAAGCAUCUAUAGCAAUUAAGAAAAGUUAUAAUUAUAAAAAAAAUCAACAAAAUACAAAACAUGUUGAUGAGGACAACACAACAUAAAAUUAGCAAACACAGGAAAAUGCCAAUUAAAAAUAUAAAUAUUUGCACAAAUUUUUCAUAUUAUACAUUAUAUAAAUCACUAACACUCAUAUUCGCACGUUAUUAGUUCUUCCAAAAGUUGAAAAAACACAAUAUCAUUUAAAAAAAAUAAUAAUUUUCUGAAGACUGAAGAAUAUUACCACAUGCUGAAGAACCACAGAACCAUGAAAACAAGAAAAGUUCAUGAUAUUUUUGCAACUGAAGUUCUGUUCAGAAACACAACUACAAUAAAUGAUAGACACGUGCAAACACAGAUUUAAUAAGUGGAAACUUCCAGAAUAUUAAAAUUCAACCUACUCAGUUUGCCCUCAGAAAAAGGUUAGCCCAGCAAACAAGAAAAGCAAAACCUACUGUAAGAGAGGCGGAAGCAACAAAUAUAAAUUUCUUAAUUUCCAGUUUUUCAAAUCAUUUUUUCAUGCUAAGGUAGCAAGGUAAUGAAAGAUGAUAAGCUCCCCUGAAAUUCUUGGCUACAGGCAGUAGCAUCUCUUGGUAUCAUACCGCAUCCAAAUCCCUAGCUGUUUGAAACAGUUCCCGGACAUUUGAUGCACUUUGACCAACCCAUAGUCCAGCCUCCAACUGCUGGGCUGCAACUUUAACAACCGGAACCUUGGCUUCAGCAGCAAUAGCCAGUGCCAGAGACGUCUUUCCUGUUCCCCUUUCUCCCACGAUAAGAACUCCUCGAGGUGCACGGGCACCUAUUUCUUGAAAUGCACUGGGAUUUUGUAAAAAUGCUACAACUUCAUUGAUUUCCUCCCUCAUAGAAUCGAUACUAGCAAAGUCCUUCAACGGUAUCGGAGGAUUCUUCACCCUCUUCAUUUGAUCAAAAGCGGUUUUUAUAGGAUCAAUCCCAGCCUUUUUUUUACGUUUGAUUCUCCUUACCUUGUGAUUAAUAUAGGCUUUCACUCUUUUUAACUUCCGCAAGUUUGGAUUUCUACGUAAAGGUCCAAAACCAAGAAGUAUUGGAACUUUUCUCUUCAUAAAUCGGAAAAUAUGGAACAAAAUAUAUCCGUAGAUAGCAGUUCUAAUGACAAACCAAAAAUACCACUGUAUUUCAUCCGUUUUUCUGGACUUAAAACUCAUUUCCGCCUCAGAUUGCCAUUUCAAGUACCAUGUUGAGCCAACACUCUGCCCUAUUUCCUCCGGCCACGCCAUCCCCAACCGUAACCUUACUGGAAAAGGAAUGACGAACUCCAUUAUAGGAAACACAAUCAUCAUCAUUAUAUCAUCAUUUAUGUUUCUAAUUUUCUCUAACACCCAAUCUCUUCCAAACGAAACAAUUCUAGUCUUCCAUAUUCCAUUUAUGCAUUGGCGAGCCAGCCUCAAUGUCAAGAGAAACUGUUGAUGCAAAUUCAAUUCUGAAAAAGGGAUCCACAUCAACUGAACCACAGUAGGAAUACCCUGGGCAAGCAUUUUCACAUAUAGCCCAUCAAACCCUCCAAAUUCCUCAUAAAGCAUGUCAAAUUCCUUAAUAUCAACAUAGUAUUCCUUGCCAUCGCCCUUUAGUGCAAUAUACAUGGCACCCCAAUCAUGUCUGAUUCGAGCGUGCUCCAAUAGUUUCUUUGAGACAGCAUAUGGAACAGCAAUUGGGUCUAUUUCCCACCUGUUUUUCUGUUCAUUGUACCAAGUCUUCGAGACCACUCUAUCUCGAUCUAGAAGAAUACGUUCCUGCAUUUGGGCCACGUACUGUUUAGCAAACUCAACAUCUUCCAAUAAAUUUCUCUUUAGGUUUGCCUUUGCUUCUUCCCUCCAUUUCUUCCAUCCAUGGUAUAAAUGGAGGCGAAUAGCUUUAGGGACUACAAACUCCUUAUCUCCAAACAUCCACUUCAACUCAACUUCUGGGAAACCCUUCACAACCUCAUCUGCUGGUGUCAUUACAACCAAACGCUUUUCAUCACCAAACCUCUUCAUCUUUUUUCUUACACUAGUCUCCAGAUCAUUCUGCAGCUUCCUUGAAUCUUUAAGGCCUUGUUUUAGACUUAAAGCAAAAUCCACCAAAUCUUGGUCAAAUAGAGGUCCAAGGCCUUCAACUUCCACAACAUUAGGCAAAAUCAUCUGUUCCAAGAAUUUAAUUUGUGCUGUUUCCAGUUCUUCCUGAAUUUCAGAUCUAGAAAGCCUGGUAAUGGGGCUUUUUUGCACACUUUGCGUGCCCUUUCGCCUCAUUUCCUGGUUAAAUCUUUUCACCAACUCCUCACACUCCCUCUCAAUGAAGCAAAGCUCCCUGAUCCCAAGACUCAUUGCCAUUGUCUCCCUCCUCAAAAUUGCAUCCUCAAUCUCCCCAACUCUAUCCCACACCCGACUAUAAUCCUCCUCAAUCACUCUCAUUCUCUCCUCCAACUCCUGCAUCCUCUCUUUCUCAGCACUUCCCACCAAAUUCUCGUAUUCUCUUCUAACCUUCACCGCUUCAUCCAUGAUCUCCUCUGCACGGUUCUCCAAACUCAAUUUUUCUUUUUUCAAUUCCCCCUCUUCCGAAUACAGCCCCUCCAUUAUCUGCCCUUGUAAUCCUUCUUUCUUUGCUUUUACUGCCUUUAACGCCAAUCGCACUUCCUCCAAACUCCCGUUUCCCCUCCUAGUCUCCUCUAUACACUUCAACAACCAUGAAACCUCUUCUAACAAACUUCUAGUGUAAUCUGAAUACUCAUGGCCCUUAGAAUGCGAUUCUUCAUUCACUUCUCUCUCUUUCUUUUUGAAUGUAACUUCACUAACAACAGGAGCAACAGCCGCACGAGCUGGUAAUGCACCAACUGAAACGAACCCAACAGCAAUACAAAACAAGGCAUACACUAUAGACCUUGUAAUGAAUCGAACUAUGCUCUGUUCAGGUCUAGUAAGACACCCAAUUGAGAUAGGUGAUUGAUUUUGUUGUUCUGGGCUUGAGGGAUGCCCUAGAGACCGCUUUUUGUUGUGGUUACGGUAUUUUGAAGCUUCUAGGAAGCUGAAAACGCGAGAAUUAUGCACAAAUGGUAAGUUUCUAAUUGAAUGUUUGUGGGAUUGGGAGGUAAGGUUUGUGAUUCUAAUUUUAUGUCUGGUUGGUGAUGAAGUGUUCCUGAAUGGUGGAUGGAACUUAGAGAAAGAGGGAGUGGAAAUGGAAGCCAUGAGAAUCAAUGAACUAGUGUGCUCUGGGUCAUUUUUCGGGUGAUAAUUUGUGGGCAAGAAGUCUCAGGUGAAGUAAGCAAGUGAGCAGGCCUGCAACAUCAAGAGCGCGUUGGGGGAGGGCUUAGGAAAAAUGGAAGAUAGAGGGGAAAAUGCCAUCCGGUCCCCGGGUUUAAGCAACGUCCCGGUUCGAUCCGGGGUUGUGUAUGGAGUGCUUUAAAAC